AAUGAACGCUGGCGGCGUGCUUAACACAUGCAAGUCGUGCGCGAAGGCGGCUUCGGCUGCCGGAGAGCGGCGAACGGGUGAGUAACACGUGGGUAAUCUACCUGGGAGUGGGGGAUAACCUGGGGAAACUCGGGCUAAGACCGCAUACGAUGCUGGGACUUCGGUCCUGUUCUGAAAGCUGGCCUCUGCUUGCAAGCUAGCGCUCCCAGAGGAGCCCGCGGCNGAUUAGCUGGUUGGUGGGGUAAUGGCCUACCAAGGCGACGAUCAGUAGCCGGCCUGAGAGGGUGAUCGGCCACACUGGAACUGAGACACGGUCCAGACUCCUACGGGAGGCAGCAGUGGGGAAUAUUGGACAAUGGGCGCAAGCCUGAUCCAGCAACGCCGCGUGGAGGACGAAGGUCUUCGGAUCGUAAACUCCUGUCAGGUGGGACGAAGGUUUGGGGGUGAAUAGCUCUCAAGCUUGACGGUACU
rnacentral:rRNA from 1 species